rnacentral:rRNA from 1 species
GACGAACGCUGGCGGCGUGCUUAACACAUGCAAGUCGAACGGAAAGGCCCUGCUUUUGUGGGGUGCUCGAGUGGCGAACGGGUGAGUAACACGUGAGUAACCUGCCCUUGACUUUGGGAUAACUUCAGGAAACUGGGGCUAAUACCGGAUAGGAGCUCCUGCUGCAUGGUGGGGGUUGGAAAGUUUCGGCGGUUGGGGAUGGACUCGCGGCUUAUCAGCUUGUUGGUGGGGUAGUGGCUUACCAAGGCUUUGACGGGUAGCCGGCCUGAGAGGGUGACCGGACACGUGGGCAGAGAGAUGCGGCAGAGACGACUACGGGAGGAAGGAGUGGAGAAUAGUGCAGCGGGGGCGGGAGUGUGAUGCAGCACCGCCGUGUGGGAGGUGAGGGUGUUGGGGUUGAAAAGCGUUUGCGUGUGAGGCGGAGCGUGUGACGGUAAAAGGGGAAAAAAGACAGGCGAACUCCGUG